rnacentral:lncRNA from 1 species
UCCCGCCUUUUUUUUUUCCUCCCUCACAAAAGGUUUUCCCACCUUUUUUUCCCGCCUUUUUUUCCCCCUUCAGGAAUUUUUUCCCGCCUUUUUUUCCCCCCUCAUAAAAAGUUUUCCUGCCCUUUUUUUCCCUUCUUUUUUCUCCCCUCAUGAAAUAUUUUCCCGCCUUUUUUUUCCCGCCCUUUUCCCCCCUCAUAAAAAAUUUUCCUGUCUCUUUUUUCCCACCUUUUUCCCGCCUUUUUCCUCCCUCUCAGGAAUUUUUUCCCGCCUUUUUUUCCCCACUCACAAAAAUAUUCCCGCCUUUUUUUUUCCCACCUUUUUUUCCUCCCUCACAAAAGGUUUUCCCGCCCUUUUUUUCCCGCCUUUUUUCCCUACUCAGGAUUUUUUCCCGCCAUUUUUUCCCCCCUCAUAAAAAAUUUUUCUGCCUCUUUUUCCUGCCUUUUUUCUCUCCUCAUUAAAUAUUUUCCCGCCUUUUUUUCCCGCCCUUUUUCCCACUCUUUUCCCUCCUGCACAAAAGUUUUCCCGCCCUUUUUUUCCCGUCUUUUUUUCCCUCACAGGAAUGGUUUUCCCGCCCUUUUUCCCCCCCACCUUUUUUUCCUGCCUUUUUCCUCCCCUCACAAAAGGUUUUCCCGCCUUUUUUUCCCACCAUUUUUCUCCCUCAGGAAUGAUUUUCCCGCCUUUUUCCCCUCCCCCAUAAAAAAAAAUUCCCCGCCUUUUUUUCCCGCCCUUUUUCUCCUCUCUCACAAAAAGUUUUCCCGCCUUUUUUUUCCACCUUUUUCCCGCCUUUUUUCUCCCCUCAUGAAAUAUUUUCCCGCCUUUUUUUCUCCUUCACAAAAAAUUUUCCCGCCUUUUUUUUCCCGCCUUUUUUUUCCCGCCUUUUUUCUCCCCUCAGAAAAAAGGUUUCCCGCCUUUUUUUCCCGCCUUUUUCCCCCCCUCAGGAAUUCUUUUCCUACCCUUUUUUUCCUGCCCUUUUUUUCCCGCCUGGGAAGCUCCAAAAAUUGGGAAUUUUGGCAUUUUUGGGGAUUCA